rnacentral:rRNA from 1 species
UACGGAGGGUGCGAGCGUUAAUCGGAAUUACUGGGCGUAAAGGGUGCGUAGGUGGUUUAUUAAGUUAUCUGUGAAAUUCCUGGGCUUAACCUGGGCGUGUCAGAUAAGACUGAUGGACUCGAGUAUGGGAGAGGGUAGUGGAAUUUCCGGUGUAGCGGUGAAAUGCGUAGAGAUCGGAAGGAACACCAGUGGCGAAGGCGGCUACCUGGCCUAAUACUGACACUGAGGCACGAAAGCGUGGGGAGCAAACAGG